UACGUAGGGGGCAAGCGUUGUCCGGAUUUAUUGGGCGUAAAGAGCGUGUAGGCGGCCUGGUAGGUCAGCUGUGAAAACUCGAGGCUUAACCUCGAGAUGUCGGCGGAAACCAUCUGGCUAGAGUCCGGAAGAGGAGAGUGGAAUUCCUGGUGUAGCGGUGAAAUGCGCAGAUAUCAGGAGGAACACCCGUGGCGAAGGCGGCUCUCUGGGACGGUACUGACGCUGAGACGCGAAAGCGUGGGGAGCGAACAGG
rnacentral:rRNA from 1 species